rnacentral:rRNA from 1 species
CCUACGGGAGACAGCAGUGGGGGAUAUUGCACAAUGGGGGAAACCCUGAUGCAGCGACGCCGCGUGUGGGAAGACGGUCCUCUGGAUUGUAAACCACUGUCCCCAGGGACGAAGAUGACGGUACCUGGGGAGGAAGCUCCGGCUAACUACGUGCCAGCAGCCGCGGUAAUACGUAGGGAGCGAGCGUUGUCCGGAAUUACUGGGUGUCAAGGGAGCGUAGGCGGGGAUGCAAGUUGGGUGUCAAAACUACCGGCUCAACUGGUAGUCGCACUCAAAACUGCAGCUCUUGAGUGAAGUAGAGGCAGGCGGAAUUCCUAGUGUAGCGGUGAAAUGCGUAGAUAUUAGGAGGAACACCAGUGGCGAAGGCGGCCUGCUGGGCUUUUACUGACGCUGAGGCUCGAAAGUGUGGGGAGCAAGCAGGAUUAGAUACCCUAGUAGUC